AUGUCAGAGAAACUGGGACUCCAUAUGCAACAGAAAUCUGCUGCCCCGAGAAACUCCCAGAGCUUUCUCUUGGUGUUGGGAGUGGGCAUGGAGCAAAUCACCCUUUUCCUCUCCGGUCUCAGAGCCCGAUGUCCUUUGGUGAUGAUGAACCCCAGGUACCUCACCUGUUGUCUGCAGAUUUGGGCCUUUUUCCAUGAGACUUUAUAUCCUGCCUCUGUAAGGAGCUGCAGCAGCAGCACCUUGGUCUCUUCCCAUCAGUCCUUCCGCUCCCUGCUGGCAAGAGGUAGGUCAUCCACGUACUGCACCAGUGGGCAAUUAAGGUCCUCUCAUGGGAAGGCAGCUAAGUCUGCAACAAGUGCCUCACCAAACAAUGUGGGAGAGUUUUUAAAUCCUUGGGGCAACCGAGUCCAGGUCAGUUGCAUCUUCCUUUGUGUUUGGGGCUCCUCCCAUUCGAAGGCAAAAAGUGGCUGGUUCUUUGGUGCCAAUCGUAGACAGAAAAAGGCAUCUUUUAAGUCCAGGCAUGUGAACCACUCAGCCUUAGGGGAGAGGUGGCCCAGGAGAGUGUAUGGGUUAGGAACCACCGGGGGCAGGGUGAUUGUGGCACCGUUUACUGCUCUCAAGUUCUGUACUGGGCGAUAUCCCCCACCGGGCUUUCUCACUGGCAAUAGGGGAGUGUUCCAGGGAGACUGGCAUUUGACCAAGAUUCCCCCCUUUCUAAGCUGUGAAAUUUGUUCCCGGAUUCCCAGCUGGGCCUCUUGGGGUAUUGGAUAUUGUCUCUGCCUGACAGGGAGGGCUCCAGGCUUGAGGUCAAUUAUCAGUGGUAUGUGGGCCUUGGCUGUUCCUGGGGGGUUCAUCUCUGCCCAGACUGCAGGGAAGGUGCCCAGGAAUUCCUCUGACCUCUCGGCGGUGUGCAGUUUCCUUUCUUCCUCACGUAGAAGCUUGACUGCCAGGAGUAGGCCCCCCUUUCGCUCACUUAAAGUAAGACUGGCUGCCUCCCUGGUUCAAAGGUGA
rnacentral:lncRNA from 13 species